rnacentral:rRNA from 1 species
AUUGAAAGCUGGCGGCAGGCCUAACACAUGCAAGUCGAACGAGAGGCGGACGGGGGAGUAAGGUCUGGGAAACGGCGCGAUGGAGGGGAGUAACGACUGGAAACGGUAGCAAAUAGCGCAUACAAGCGGAUGUGCCCAGAUGGGAUUAGCGGAGGGGUGGGGUAACGGCUCACCGAGGCGACGAUCCCUAGCUGGGCUGAGAGGAUGACCAGGCACACUGGAACUGAGACACGGGCCCAACUCCUACCGGGGGCAGCAGUGGGGAAUAUUGCACAAUGGGCGCAAGCCUGGUGCAGCCAUGCCGCGUGUAUGAAGAAGGCUUUCGGGUUGUAAAGUACUUUUAGUGAGGAGGAGUUACUCUAAGAAGAAGGACCGGCUAACUCCGUGCCAGGCGCCGCGGUAAUAC